rnacentral:rRNA from 1 species
UACGAAGGGGGCUAGCGUUGCUCGGAAUCAUGUACGUGGGCGUAAAGGGUGGUCGUAGGCGGGUCUUUAAGUCAGGGGUGAAAUCCUACGGAAGCUCAACUCCAGAACUAGCCUUGAUACUGAGGAUCUUGAGUUCGGGAGAGGUGAGUGGAACUGCGAGUGUAGAGGUGAAAUUCGUAGAUAUUCGCAAGAACACCAGUGGCGAAGGCGGCUCACUGGCCCGAUACUGACGCUGAGGUGCGAAAGCGUGGGAGCAAACAGG